rnacentral:rRNA from 1 species
GAAAGGACUGCUAAUACCCGAUGGUUCUGUUGGCUUACGGGCCCUCGGAUAAAUGGUGAUUCCGCUCGUGGAGGGGUCCAUGUCCUAUCAGCUUGUUGGUGAGGUAACGGCUCACCAAGGCUAUGACGGGUAGCCGGACUGAGAGGUUGGCCGGUCACACUGGGACUGAGACACUGCCCAGACUCCUACGGGAGGCUGCAGUCGAGAAUCUUCCGCAAUGGGCGAAAGCCUGACGGAGCGACGCCGCGUGCAGGAAGAAGGCCCUCGGGUUGUAAACUGCUGUCACACGUUAAGAACCGUUACGGUCUACCGUAACCUGACAAAAGCGUGAGAGGAAGUCACGGCUAACUUCGUGCCAGCAGCCGCGGUAAAACGAAGGUGGCUAGCGUUGUUCAGAAUUACUGGGCAUAAAGCGCACGUAGGUGGUUGCGUAUGUCGAUGGUGAAAUCCUAUGGCUCAACCGUAGAACUGCCAUCGAAACUACGUAGCUAGAGGACAGGAGGGGAGAGUGGAAUUCCUAGUGUAGCGGUGAAAUGCAUAGAUAUUAGGAGGAACGCCGGUGGCGAAAGCGACUCUC